rnacentral:rRNA from 1 species
UGGCGACGGGUGAGUAACGCGUGGAAAACCUGCCGUAUACUGGGGGAUAACACUUAGAAAUAGGUGCUAAUACCGCAUAAGCGCACAGCUUCGCAUGAAGCGGUGUGAAAAACUCUGGUGGUAUACGAUGGUUCCGCGUCUGAUUAGCUAGUUGGUGGGGUAAUGGCCUACCAAGGCAACGAUCAGUAGCCGGCCUGAGAGGGUGGACGGCCACAUUGGGACUGAGACACGGCCCAAACUCCUACGGGAGGCAGCAG